rnacentral:rRNA from 1 species
AUUGAACGCUGGCGGCAGGCUUAACACAUGCAAGUCGAGCGGGGUGAUGGUGCUUGCACUAUCACUUAGCGGCGGACGGGUGAGUAAUGCUUAGGAAUCUGCCUAUUAGUGGGGGACAACAUCUCGAAAGGGAUGCUAAUACCGCAUACGUCCUACGGGAUAAAGCAGGGGAUCACUUGUGACCUUGCGCUAAUAGAUGAGCCUAAGUCGGGUUAGCUAGUGGGUGGGGUAAAGGCCUACCAAGGCGACGAUCUGUAGCGGGUCUGAGAGGAUGAUCCGCCACACUGGGACUGAGACACGGCCCAGACUCCUACGGGAGGCAGCAGUGGGGAAUAUUGGACAAUGGGGAACCCUGAUCCAGCCAUGCCGCGUGUGUGAAGAAGGCCUUAUGGUUGUAAAGCACUUUAAGCGAGGAGGAGGCUCUUUUGGUUAAUACCCAAGAUGAGUGGACGUUACUCGCAGAAUAAGCACCGGCUAACUCUGUGCCAGCCGCCGCGGUAA